CAUCAAUUUUACUGUUUUUUUUUUCCUUUUUAAUCUUUGGAUCGAAUCAUUGCUUAGUUCUUGCUUAAUUUCUCCAUUUUAUGUUGGGUCUUUGAUUGCAGGUUUAGCUCUGCGCGAGAACUGGGAAAUUUAAUUGUGACCUCCAAUCUAAUCGACUCUGCUUUGACUAAAAUUCUUGAGCUUCAAAGAGACCAAACAGCCUUGCCUUCCCCCGUUCAAUACAGAGUUUUUUAUCCAUCUCCCAAGUGCACAAUUGUAGCUUUUGUCUCUUCACCUGACUGCACUCAAAACCCUCUUCCUGGACAAGGAGAUUUAGUUCCCUCUCCUCUCUUUGACUUCCUCUGCACCGAAGAAUACCCUUCCGUCUCCAUUAACGGAGCCGCAUUAACCCUCUUUACCUCUCUCUACGAUCAUCUCUCUGGACUAAUAGAUGAGGUCAAAAUCUGAUACUUGUUUUAAUUUACGUUAACUUUUCGUUAACAAUUGUGAGACACGUAUAUAUAUAUAUAUAUAUAUAUAUCUUGUGGAUAAAAGGAAAGUUUACAAGUGAGAAUAGUGGCAUUUUUCUGACAGAUUUCACACCGUUGCUUGUUUUGCACUUGACUGUGAUUGAAGGUCGAUUAAUCAUCACUGGGCACUCGAUGGGAGGAUCCGUUGCUUCUCUCUUCACCUUAUGCCUGCUAGAAGUCAUUAAUAUAUCAAAACCCAAAUGCCGCCCCAUUUGCAUCACAUUUGGUUCACCCCUCAUAGGCGACUUUGGCUUCCAACACUCCAAUUGGAAUUCUUUCUUCUUGCAUGUAGUGUCCAACCAAGAUCUAGUCCCCGGACUCUUCCUCCCAUCCGGCAGAUCUCCUCCCACAUCCUCCCAUUCACAAACUACUGGUUACAAGCCCUUUGGGACAUAUCUCUUGUGCUCUGAACUUGGUUGUGCUUGUUUUGACAACCCUGAUUUAAUUUUGGAAUUGCUGAAAGUCAUAUCAUCAGAGGUUGCCGGAGGAUUGCGGGAUGUUGAUUACAGGAAGAUUUUAAUAAACCUCAAGGAGAGGGCAAUCUUCAAGGGACUUCAGCAGGUGGGUGAAAGGUUUGCAGAUCCCUUGUCAGCUGGGAUCAUCAUGGACCUUGAGAUAAUUGGAUUUGAUCAAACAAAGGUAAACAGCUUUCUCCCAAUUAAUGAUGUAGCAUGGUUUACACUCAACUUCACCAAAACCUGCAACAACUGCCCUAUUUAGAUUUGCCUUCCGGUUCUUUGGGUUCUUCUAUAACUUCUCAUUUUUUAAAUCCAUGGCAGCUGUUGCGGCACAACAUUGAUAUCAACACUGUGAUAAGGAUACUGGGAGCGGAAGCCAGAAUCCUAGCCCACAAAAAUAAAGCUUCUGAUGCCAAGAAACUGAAUGACAUAAAAAUACACAUGGCCCAGCUAGAAUGGUAUAAGAAGAAAUCAAAAGAUCUGAACAAGGGUUACUACGACUGCUUCAAAAACCAGGGGUUAAAAAGGGACAUUAAAAUUGAACAGUAUAGGGGACACCUCACAAUAUACUGGAAAGACAUGGUUGCACAAGUACAGAGGAAGCCCCAGAAGGAAGGAGCAUCAUUUCGAACCAGUUGGCUCUAUCCAGGGACAACUUAUAGAAGAAUGGUUGAACCACUGGACAUUGCUGCCUUCUACAGAGAGGGUAGAACAGACUACAUAAACAAUGGAAGAUCUCCUCAUUACAAGCUGUUGCAGCAAUGGUAUGAGGAAGAUGUGAAGCCCCCAUCCAGAGAUAAGCUCGAUUCCAAGAAACUAAAGGUGUCUGGUAUCCUAACUGAGGAUUCUUUGUUUUGGGCACAUGUGGAGGAGGCUCUCUUGUCAUGCGAAUCGCUCAAGAGUGCAAACUCUACUCUUGAGCAGAGAAAAUCAUCAUGGGAUAAUCUGGUUAAGUUUGGGGAGUAUGUAAUGGAACAGAUUGGAAACUAUGCAGUGUCCCCUGAGAUUUUCUUGGGGGAAAGCAGCUUCAUGAAAUGGUGGGGAGUGUAUGAGGACUACAUAGAUGCUUCCAAUAAUUUCUAUGGGUCACCAUUGAUCAACUUUAUGAAGGACCGUAGUUAUAGACUGUAUGGUUAGAGGGCAAUCCAGUUUGUGUAUUGUGUUUAUUGUAUUGUGAGCAUUCAAUAGAUAAAACUAGAAAGAGCGUGACCUUUUUAUGACAACUUUAGAAACCAGGGGUUAAAAGAGACAUUACAAAUUGAAUUUUUUGAGAGGAAACCUCAAGAGUAUACUGGGAAGCCAUGGUGGAACAAGUAGAGAGGAAGCUUCGGAAGGAAGGAUCAAUGGUUGAACCACUUGACAUUGUUGCCUACUUCAGGGAGGGUGUAAGAAACAACAUAACCGAGGGAAGAUCUGAACAUUAAACAUUGUACAAUUAUUGUAAAUGUCUUAUACAUUACGUGUGAAAAUACCAAAAAAAAUUAUAUUCAACAUUUAUGUUUGUAUACAAGCAAUAUUUUGGAUAGUUUGAUAUAAAAAACAAAUGAAGAAAACGAAGAAAAACAUACAAAUAUAUUUACAAUGGACAAACUUAUACAAUUAGUGUAAAUGUCUUGUAUAUUUAGUACAAAAGUCUCGUACUUUGUAAAAAUAUAAAAAUAUAGUAUUUGACUUUUAUAUAUGUGUGAAAAUGUAAAAGGAAAAAGAAAAAUAGUUAGAGCAUUUGGUACCGUGAGUGAUGACUUCACCUAAAGAAAGGUUAAUGAAUAUUAUGGUCUCGAUGGAAGAGCGACUCCGGUAAAAUAUAUGGAUUAAAUUGAUGCUUUUCUUUUGACGAUGAAGUAGUUGAGUUAUGAAUACGAGGUUUUGCUAACAACAUUGAAGGCAAGGAUUCCCUAAUAUACUCCAAUUCAUAUUCAAUUUGUAGACCUUCAACUAACUACUCUUGCUAAUGAGCAUAUCCAAGUGAAUACAUAAGAUUAAUUAUUACAUAUGAUAAUUGAAACCCUGUUUAAAUAAAUAGUGACACAAAUAUAAAAAAUAUAUAUAUUUAAAAAUAAAUAAAUAAUAAUUUAGAGAAUUUCAUAACUUAGCAUCAAACCUAUUGUAGGAAAGAGUAUUAUACAAUGUAGGGUUUAGGAUCAAAGUUAACCUAAGAUCAAAUUUAAGUCUUAAGACCAAUUCACAUUCAAAACUAAGGUUUUAAAUUUCAAAAAUAUAUCUCUUAAACCAAUUAAAUGGAAAAAAGAAAAUUACAAAGAAAAUUUCUUCCUCAUCGGUUUCUUUUAUCUUGAAAACUAAAGGAAAUAUAUAUCAAUAUUUGAGAUGGAAAUUCAUAAUCUUAGAAACACAAAGAACAAAGAGAGUAUGAAGAGACCAUACCAUGAGAGAUUUUCCAAAAGGUUGGUAAACCAUGGUAAUCACCUUUGAGUUUUGCUGAGAAAAACAAACCUUAAUUUUUAUUUUUAUUUUUUUAUCAUUUUUUCUCUUGUGGUGUACAUUUAAGAAAAACAAAUCUUAAAAAAAAAAAAAAAAAAACCAAAUAAUGCCAGAAUUUGGGUUGAGAAACACCCAAAAGAUAGUGGCCCAAUACAUGUGCCUAAGAAAAUCUUCAUGAGCCGAUAAACAUAGUCACAAAACUAGGAACAGCCUUGUAGCCAUAGUUGGUGUAGUAUGAGCAAGUGGGGUAUGAAGUAGGUAGGUGAGUAUUGCAAUGAAAUUUCCAGCACUGCUUCCUGAAUUAAGAAAUCACAUACUCAAGUCUUAAUCGUUGUCAUCAUACCGUGUGAGAACCGAGGAAGAAUCUUUGCUCUUAGACUGGAUUUUGUAGUCUUUCUUUAACAAUUACAAGUUAUCUGAAUUCCCUUCAUCCUCCUAUAUAAUAUUGUUUUUGGUCUUGUUCUUGUUGCAUUGUGGCUAGGCAUCUCCAUGGGAGGAAGGAGGAUGAAUCAAGUUCCUUUGUAUGAAUCAAUUUCUCUGCUCUUUUUUUUUUCAAUCCUUGAAUCGAAUCAUUGCUUAGUUCUUGCUUUAAUUUCUCCAUUUUCUGUUGGGUCUUUGAUUGCAGGUUUAGCUCUGCAAGAAAACUGGGAAAUUUAAUUGUGACCUCCAAUCUAAUCGACUCUGCUUUGACUAAAAUUCUUGAGCUUCAAAGAGACCAAACAGCCUUGCCUUCCCCCGUUCAAUACAGAGUUUUUUAUCCAUCUCCCAAGUGCACAAUUGUAGCUUUUGUCUCUUCACCUGACUGCACUCAAAACCCUCUUCCUGGACAAGGAGAUUUAGUUCCCUCUCCUCUCUUUGACUUCCUCUGCACCGAAGAAUACAAGUCCGUCUCCAUUAACAGAGCUGCAUUAACCCUCUUUACCUCUCUCCACGAUCAUCUCUCUGGACUAAAAACUCAGGUCAAAAUAUGAUAGUUGUUUUUAUUUUCGUUUCCUUUUUGUUAACAAUUGUGAGACAUGAAACAGCUUGACCAUGAGAUCUCUCUCAUAGAGUCAAACUAC
rnacentral:lncRNA from 1 species